GCAGCUCCAAUAGCAUCGGCAGUGCCAGAGCUUGAUAGGGGUUACUGUCAGGAUUGCAGGCAGUCUCACGAAGCAGGCCUCCAAUGGAACACAGGUCCAGAUGCCUUGGAUGUUGCCAGCACAGAUGAUACAUUUCUUCUCCUGUCUCUGAAGUGAUGUUACUUUGAAUUGCGACUUAUAUGUAUUACUUCAUAGAAGACCAGAAACACAGAGGCAAAGAAGGAUGAGGAUUCUUAGGAGAGUUAAAGUCCCCAGGCUCACUUCAACAAGUUUCAGCUGAGCAAGUUACACCUGUACUUUGCAGGAGCCACCCAGCUCUAGGAAGCCAGAGGGUAUCUACCAAAAUCAUCUGAAGUAAGGAGAACAUCCAGUCAGCAGCUUCCAUCAACUGAAGACACUCUCAUUCAGUCUUUCAAAAAUUAUCACUGUUCAUGAUGUCGUUGCAGACAAUGAGGAGAGGUCAUGAUGCAUUUGAGGAUGCAUCAGUACAACAUUGUGAGAAGCUUUUAGGCUGUCAUUCAUUGCUGUCAUCUGGGGGUGUCAUCUGGGUAGUCUCAGCCUGGAGUGGCAGUCUCCCUGUGGCAGUCUCCCGAAGUGGCAGUCUAGUCUUAGCAUGGCAGUCUUGUCCUGGCAUGGAGAUCUCAUCAUCAUGUGGAGAUCGUCCAGGUAUUCUAGCAGCCCAGCAGCCGGUGUCAUCCAGGAGUGGCAGUCUCAGCCCAGCAUGGCAGUCUUCUUCAGCAGAGGCUUCCGGCCCAGUACCCAAUGGCCAGCAUGGCAGUCUCAUCCAGGCUGCGUCUUCAGGGUAUUCCAUCGUUCCUAAAUCAACCUUCCCUAAGCCCAAGAGCCAUUAACUAAACUGUGAUGAACAUUAUCUCAGUUUUACAUUUUUUAAUAUUUUGUAUAACUUCUGUCAU